UACAGAGGUCUCGAGCGUUAGGCGGAAUCACUGGGCUUAAAGCGUGUGUAGGCGGAUGCCUAAGUACCUUGUGAAAUCCCACGGCUUACCCGUGGAACUGCUUGGUAUACUGGGUGUCUUGAGCCACCUAGGGGCGAGCGGAACAGAUGGUGGAGCGGUGAAAUGCGUAGAUAUCAUCUGGAACGCCAAUGGUGAAAACAGCUCGCUGGGGGGUGUGCUGACGCUGAGACACGAAAGCCCAGGGGAGCAAACGGG
rnacentral:rRNA from 1 species